rnacentral:rRNA from 1 species
UGAGUACGAGCUGCUACGGCAGCGAAGUGGGUGAUGUCAAGCUUCCAAGAAAAGCCCUAUACCCGUUAAGGCAUGACGGCCUGUACCCGAAACCGACACAGGUGGGGUGGUAGAGAAUACCGAGGGGCGCGAGAUAACUCUCUCUAAGGAACUCGGCAAAAUGGCCCCGUAACUUCGGGAGAAGGGGUGCCACCGCAAGGUGGUCGCAGUGAAGAGGCCCAGGCGACUGUUUACCAAAAACACAGGUCUCCGCUAAGUCGCAAGACGAUGUAUGGGGGCUGACGCCUGCCCAGUGCCGGAAGGUUAAGGAAGCUGGUCAGCGCAAGCGAAGCUAGCGACUGAAGCCCCGGUGAACGGCGGCCGUAACUAUAACGGUCCUAAGGUAGCGAAAUUCCUUGUCGGGUAAGUUCCGACCCGCACGAAAGGCGUAACGAUCUGGGCGCUGUCUCGGAGAGAGGCUCGGCGAAAUAGAAUUGUCUGUGAAGAUGCGGACUACGUGCACCCGGACAGAAAGACCCUAUGAAGCUUUACUGUAGCUUGGUAUUGUGCCCGGGCUCUGAAUGCGCAGGAUAGGUGGGAGGCUUUGAUCCAUUGCUUGUGGGUGAUGGUGAGCCAACGGUGAGAUACCACUCUUUCAGAGCUAGGGUUCUAACCCUCACCCGUUAUCCGGGGAGGGGACAGUAUCAGGUGGGCAGUUUGACUGGGGCGGUCGCCUCCUAAAAGGUAACGGAGGCGCGCAAAGGUUUGCUCAGGCUGGUUGGAAAUCAGCCGACGAGUGUAAAAGCAGAAGCAAGCUUGACUGUGAGACCAACAAGUCGAACAGGGACGAAAGUCAGCUUUAGUGAUCCGACGGUUCUGAGUGGAAGGGCCGUCGCUCAACGGAUAAAAGUUACUCUAGGAUAACAGGCUGAUCUCCCCCAAGAGUUCACAUCGACGGGGAGGUUUGGCACCUCGAUGUCGGCUCAUCGCAACCUGGGGCUGAAGUCGGUCCCAAGGGUUGGGCUGUUCGCCCAUUAAAGCGGUACGCGAGCUGGGUUCAGAACGUCGUGAGACAGUUCGGUCCAUAUCCGGUGCAUGCGUAAGAACAUUGAGAGGAGUUCUCCCUAGUACGAGAGGACCGGGAGGAACGCACCUCUGGUGUACCAGUUAUCGUGCCAACGGUAAACGCUGGGUAGCCAUGUGCGGAGAGGAUAACCGCUGAAAGCAUCUAAGUGGGAAGCCCACCUCAAGAUGAGUGUUCUCAUGGCUUAAGCCAGUAAGGUCACGGGAAGAACACCCGUUGAUAGGCUCUACGUGGAAGCGCAGCAAUGCGUGAAGCGGAGGAGUACUAAUAGACCGAGGGCUUGAC